GAAAUGGUAAGUGUGAUGGGAAACCCCUAGCUAGGUUUCAAAUUAGUUCAUAUUUUCAGUAAUUGCAAAUAGUGAUUUGAUUAGUUUGAGUUUUUGCUGAAAUCUGGAAAUGGAGUUUUGGUCUCAUGGGGUUAAUGAUUCUGAUUGAUUCUGUUGAAAGGGUUUUGAUCUGCUAAUUUUUCAUUUUGUGGAAGCUUCAGAGUUGAGACAAGCUGAAAUUCUCAUGGAUUUGAACAACAUUGGUGAGGCAGAGAAUAGGAUUAGCGAAUUACCUGAUUCAAUUCUUCAUCAUAUCCUCUCUUUCCUUGAUAUCAAACCUGUUGCUCAAACUGGUGUACUAUCUAAAAGAUGGAAAUACUUAUGGACCUCUAUCCCCACUCUUGUGUUUCCAUACUUUCAUUCGGAACGGCUCUCAUUGUUCGAAACCAAUAAGUUUAUCUUGGUGAAUAUCAUGGUGUACAAUGGGAGCAACCAAUAGGUUAUGGUGCAGCUGUAAGUCAGUUUUUUCGAGCGCUUUCAUGCGUACAAUGUCUAGAAAUAUACCCUGAAACCGUAGAGACUCUCUCCAUAGUAGAUAACUUUGUAAACAUCCUACCUCGUGUAUUUCGAGAUCUGGUCCAGUUGAUUCUGAAAGAAGGAGUAGGAGAAACCACUGACAAAUCACUAUUUCUUUUGCUCAAAGCAGUACCUAAUUUGAGGUCGCUCGUAUUU